CUCCACCCCAACUUCCCGAGACGACUAUUCGCCCUGUAAGGAGGAUCGAGAUUCCGCCUCAGUCGGUCCGCUACCCGGGGCCGAUUGGUAUUAACAAGGACCAUAUUGCUGACGCGCCAGAGGGUUACAGACAAGCGCAGGAGUCUUUGCCCGAGGUCUUUGAGCUGCCUAAACGCCCGGAGAUGAU